CAUCUCUUUCCCUUCGGUCUCCUGCGUGUAUUUUUCUGGGGCGGGCGAGAGCAAGCACAACGUGAUGCUUGUUCUCUGCUUGGGCGCUGUCAUGUCCCUCCACUUCCUCUCCGAAGGCGCACCUACUCUGCCGCUGCCCUUUGUCGUGCGUGCACUCGCGCUGCUGCCUUAUCUUCUCUCUCACGCGCGUGUGCGUUGCAGGGGAGCUGCCGCAGCUGCCUUCUCUCUGUGUGCAGAAGCUAUUCUCUUCUCACAUCCGUGGUUGCUGACUGCCGUAUGUAUCGUGACCUCCCAUGGUGGCCAUGCAGGAAUCGCUCAGCAGAACAAUAGCCUGGACUCCCAAGCGUAGGUAGCUGACUGAGAGGGAUGGUUCAGAGGAGAACUAACAACAACAGCGGCAAAACUGGGCUAAAUCGACAGUUUACUGAAGAUAUAAGUAGCAAGGCCAACAGGAACAUCAAAGAUAAAAUAGCAAACUAAACGUUAAGUUUUUCAUUACUCCUUCCUCCCUUCCACCCCUCAAGUUUUAUAACACAGCCCGAGCCACAAGCUUAGUUUCUUAAUCUUGAUUACAACAAAUGAGCUCAUUUACUUAGUAAGUAUCUCAAAAGGAUUUUUUUUUAUUUUCUCAAAAGGAAAUUACAGUACAGCCUUACGAUUGCAAUCAAAAAGGGCAAGACGGAAGCUCAGGCAUAGAUGUAGCCCGAUGCUCUACUGAACAUAACUGAAGAACAGAACAAGUGUCGAACUUAACUGAGGAAUGGUUGCUGAACCUGACAAAGUAUGCGGCGGAAGGAGAGCGAGCGGUGGUGUGCUCUGGCACCAAGGGUGAGCGAUGGCUAGUCCGUUCCUGGGAGGCGACGGUAGCUCUGUUCUGGGGAGGAGAUGCCGAGGAUUUCGAUUUUUCUAGCCUCUUUCUUAAUGUCAAUUUUAUUUUUGAUCCCCAUCUGUGUUUUUGUAUGGCUAUCUUGUGAUUGGUUUCUCUCUGAUCUUUAAUGGCCUAACCCGUGUACCUUUUCUCCUUUUUCUUGUUAUGCAUUAGGCUAUUUUGUUAAAAUAUACCGUAUUGUCCACGAAUGAAUAAAGUGCAAUGCCCAAUUAA